rnacentral:rRNA from 1 species
CAGAGUACGUGAAACCGUUUAGGGGUAAACCUGAGAAACCCGAAAGGUCGAAGGGAGAAAUUCAUUCGCGUUUCGACGCAGGCGUCGGACGGGGUUCAGUGCGACGAGACGCGCGUUCUUUACCGGACGUGAGACAGUUUCGCGCCCUCCGUACUUCGAACCGGCGACGAACGCGUGCACUUUUCUCUUGGUAGGACGUCGCGAUCCGUCGGGUGUCGGUCUACGACUUGCGGUGGAGCCCGUCCGUCACUGUCAUCGUACUUUGACGGACGGACCCGCUCGUUCCGGCCGACUCGCUCGACGGUAUACGAAUGGUCGGAGGCCGCUCGUAAAUAGCUUUUCACUAUUGGAAAGUUAUGGGGAGCGUUCGACUCGUCGCAAGCGCGCCACGUGCGUCGUUACGCGGACCCGGUGCCGCGUUCGACCUCUGGUGACUGUUGGCGACGAUGUUCUCGAACAGACCUCUUUUCUCACUCUCCUUCUCCGCGAGAUCGAAAGGUCGAACGGGGGAUGGGGAGCCCAGAGAGAGACCGAUCGGCGACGCUAUAGCUUUGGGUACUUUCAGGACCCGUCUUGAAACACGGACCAAGGAGUCUAGCAUGUGCGCGAGUCAUUGGGAAUCACUAAACCUAAAGGCGUAAUGAAAGUGAAGGUUUUCCUAGCGAAGACCGAGGGAAGACGGAUUCGUCGGUUUCUAUUUUUGGAAAACGAGAGAGCGAUCUCUCGGACCGCGGUCCCGCAUUCCCGGGGCGUCUCGUUCACAUUGCGUGAAGAGGCGCACCAAGAGCGUACACGCUGGGACCCGAAAGAUGGUGAACUAUGCCUGGUCAGGACGAAGUCAGGGGAAACCCUGAUGGAGGUCCGUAGCGAUUCU